AUACUUACCAGGCAGAGGAGAUACCAUGGUUACGAAGGUGGUUUGCCCAGGGUGAGGCUUACCCAUUGCACUCCAGAUGUGCUGACCCCUGCAAUUUCCACAAAUGUGGGAAACUCUACUGCAUAGUUUGUGGGAAUGGGGGACUGCUUUCUCUCC